CAAUAUAGCUUUCGUUGCCCUUCAGGACAGUUCUAAUAAAUCACGAAGUACAGCCCUAGUAAGCAACACAAGGCCGUACGACGCUUACGUUUUGCUAUCCGAAGUAUCUAAAAAAAAGCACUUCGCAUUGCUGAUGCCGAGCUCAUGGCGAUUCCGCUUGCAUUCUCUCUGCUAGACAUAGUUAGGUGCACCGACUAAGUUUUGUAUUCCAGGUUAUUCGAAAGGUCUCAUCCAAAGAUGCUACUGCUCAUAUAUUCUGGAGGGCGCUUGGAUCGAUUCAAGAACGCUUUCACUCUCGAACAGAGCCACUAUAUGAGCACUGGUAGCGGAAAGAAAAACGUAUUCUGAUCGAUUACAGACCGCCGCAUUUGUGCCGCUUAGGGUUUGAUCGCCGUUCGCCUGCAAGCACCGAGGACGCCGCGAUGAUGACAAUGGUGCUUAUACUGACUGUCCUACUUUUCUCAGCAGGUAUGAUGCAAAGCUGCGAAGUUCUUGAAUGAGAAAGUUUUUUUGACCGCUUACGCCUUUAUGCCAAAGGUAAUGAAGAAUACUUUACAUGACAGUGAAAAAAAGAACUUCGCCGAGAGAACGUUAAAUACUGCACACAUUAUGACUUUUUGAUGCGCAUAAAUUUAUCAGACGUGAGAGUUAGACAGCGCUACCAAUUAGAGUUUAUUUCGCGCAGUUAAUCUCUUAUAUACAAUAUUUAUCAUCGUAACUUCUCGUCACGAAAUGACAAGAAAAAUAGCUUCAUUUCUUUCCGUCACUGAUUCUAAAUAAGCAUUUGAUGAUGAGCGUGUUAGUGGUGAGGAACAACCAAGCCACCUCCUAUGCUCCCAUAAGGGUGUUAAAAUGUGUAUAGUGUUUACCGUAGAAGUGAACCAAUCAUACCACGCCGCGUCGAUUGCUCGGCAACAAGGAUGAACGAUUUUUCGGAUUAGAAUAUAUUAAAAAUCCCUGUCUGAAGCCAUUUGAUACGAUGAUGUGAUUAAACAUAAUUAUCAAGUAUUAAUCAGACACAAAAUAAUCAUGGAAGCUUGGCUUUGACUUGACGGUAAGCUUAUGUCCUCAUAAAGUACGGCAACAGCAAGAAGCACAAGGCCACACGACGUUUACGUAGCCUUAUACGAACCGUUCCAAACAAAUGGCUGCGUGCAUCGAAAUUAACUUCCUCUACGCGAGCCUCAGCGACGCGAGCCAUACUGAACAGCGGGUUAAGCACAGCUACGUGCUUAGUUUAAACACACUUCAUUAACAAGGUUAAGGGAAAACACCUCUUGAAAAGUGAUAUUUAUAUAUUCCGGAUGUAGCCUGGAGGGCAGCCAGAAUGUUUUUUUUUUCUCUAAGAGCGUUCCUAUAAAAGAAGGAGUGGACAUAACGCGAACGCGAACAUAUUUGUAUCGAGUUUAGACCGCCACACUUGUGUCGACUAGUGUUGUAUCGCCGUUCGCCUGCAAGCUCCGAGAACACCACGAUGAAGACAACGGUGCUGAUGCUGGCCGUACUUCUUAUCUCAGCAGUGAUGCUGACCCAGGGAUCACCAGCUAAAGGUUCAGGAUCCAGGUUAUUUAGCAGUUCACAAAGCAAGAAAUGUGGGAGCUACUACUGCGAACCGCACCAGACCUGCGAGCCAUCUUUUGUGGGGCCUUCAUGCACCAGUAAACGUGGAGGCAACAAAAAUCCCCAUGGAUGAACACCAACAAGAUCAACCUGCUUGGCUGCUCAAUAAAGUUAAUUGCGCUCACCAA